rnacentral:rRNA from 1 species
UACGAAGGGGGCUAGCGUUGUUCGGAAUUACUGGGCGUAAAGGGCGCGUAGGCGGGCCGUCAAGUCCGGGGUGAAAUCCUCCAGCCUAACUGGAGAAGCGCCUCGGAGACUGGCGGCCUCGAGGAGGGUAGGGGCAAGCGGAACUAUGGGUGGCGCGGUGAAAUGCAUUGAUAUCCAUAGGAACUCCGGUGGCGAAGGCGGCUUGCUGGACCUUUUCUGACGCUGAGGCGCGAAAGCCAGGGGAGCGAACGGG